ensembl:lncRNA
GGCGGCAGGGUAGCCUAGUGGUUAGAGUGUAGAGGCGGCAGGGUAGUCUAGUGGUUAGAGUGGAGGGGCGGCAGGGUAGCCUAGUGGUUAGAGUGGAGGGGCGGCAGGGUAGCCUAGUGGUUAGAGUGUAGAGGCGGCAGGGUAGCCUAGUGGUUAGAGUGGAGGGGCGGCAGGGUAGCCUAGUGGUUAGAGUGGAGGGGCGGCAGGGUAGCCUAGUGGUUAGAGUGGAGGGGAGGCAGGGUAGCCUAGUGGUUAGAGUGGAGGGGCGGCAGGGUAGCCUAGUGGUUAGAGUGGAGGGGCGGCAGGGUAGCCUAGUGGUUAGAGGGGAGGGGCGGCAGGGUAGCCUAGUGGUUAGAGUGGAGGGGCGGAAGGGUAGCCUAGUGGUUAGAGUGGAGGGGCGGCAGGGUAGCCUAGUGGUUAGAGUGGAGGGGCGGCAGGGUAGCCUAGUGGUUAGAUUGUAGAGGCGGCAGGGUAGCCUAGUGGUUAGAGUGGAGGGGCGGCAGGGUAGCCUAGUGGUUAGAGUGGAGGGGCGGCAGGGUAGCCUAGUGGUUAGAGUGGAGGGGCUGCAGGGUAGCCUAGUGGUUAGAGUGUGGAGGCGGCAGGGUAGCCUAGUGGUUAGAGUGGAGGGGCGGCAGGGUAGCCUAGUGGUUAGAGUGGAGGGCGGCAGGGUAGCCUAGUGGUUAGAGUGGAGGGGCGGCAGGGUAGCCUAGUGGUUAGAGUGGAGGGGCGGCAGGGUAGCCUAGUGGUUAGAGUGGAGGGGCGGCAGGGUAGCCUAGUGGUUAAAGUGGAGGGGCGGCAGGGUAGCCUAGUGGUUAGAGUGUAGAGGUGGCAGGGUAGCCUAGUGGUUAGAGUGGAGGGCGGCAGGGUAGCCUAGUGGUUAGAGUGGAGGGGCGGCAGGGUAGCCUAGUGGUUAGAGUGUAGAGGCGGCAGGGUAGCCUAGUGGUCAGAGCGUUGGACUAGUAACCUAAAGGUUGCAAUUCAAAUCCCCGAGCUGACAAGGUACAAAUCUGUUGUUCUGCCCCUGAACAGGCAGUUAACCCACUGUUCCUAGGCCGUCAUUGUAAAUAAGAAUUUGUUCUUAACUGACUUGCCUAGUUAAAUAAAGGUCAAAUAAAAAAAAUAGUAUAAUUUAUACCUCUAAUAUCUCUACUACCAUUACCACUAGCAUCAUUUAUACCUCUAAUAUCUAUG